UUUUGGACAAUGGGCGAAAGCCUGAUCCAGCCAUUCCGCGUGCAGGACGAAGGCCUUCGGGUUGUAAACUGCUUUUGUACGGAACGAAAAGGUUUCAGCUAAUACCUGGGACUCAUGACGGUACCGUAAGAAUAAGCACCGGCUAACUACGUGCCAGCAGCCGCGGUAAUACGUAGGGUGCGAGCGUUAAUCGGAAUUACUGGGCGUAAAGCGUGCGCAGGCGGUCUUGUAAGACAGAUGUGAAAUCCCCGGGCUCAACCUGGGAACUGCAUUUGUGACUGCAAGGCUAGAGUGCGGCAGAGGGGGAUGGAAUUCCGCGUGUAGCAGUGAAAUGCGUAGAUAUGCGGAGGAACACCGAUGGCGAAGGCAAUCCCCUGGGCCUGCACUGACGCUCAGCACGAAA
rnacentral:rRNA from 1 species